rnacentral:rRNA from 1 species
UACGUAGGGUCCGAGCGUUGGCCGGAAUUACUGGGCGUAAAGAGCUCGUCGGUGGUUUGUCGCGUUGUCCGUGAAAUCCCACAACUCAAUUGUGGGUCUGCGGGCGAUACGGGCAGACUGGAGUACUGCAGGGGAGACUGGAAUUCCUGGUGUAGCGGUGGAAUGCGCAGAUAUCAGGAGGAACACCGGUGGCGAAGGCGCGUCUCUGGGCAGUAACUGACGCUGAGGAGCGAAAGCGUGGGGAGCGAACAGG